UAUGGGAUCAAGAAUGAGUACUGGAAAGGAUGAUAUAAAGUCUUCGCCCACCUCCCGUUUUGUUUUGGCGAAUAGUGGUUGCAUGCGCUUUGUGCUUGCUCUGCGUUUGUGUCUUCCCUCGUCAGAGCGGCUGUAUUUGAAUAUUUCUCGCUAAAUGUACUGUCCUGUUGGUGUUGCGUCUCGUCAGCUUCGCGGUACGAGGACUACUCUGCAAACUACUUGAGGAAGAACCUUGGCGGUGCGCAUGUGGCGGCCCUUUCAGCUUGCAUCGCUCGAAAUGCCAAGAUGGGCAAAAAAGGCCGUUGGAGAAGCAAGCCAAAGAGUCGACCAAAACUACUUAACAAGGCCAGAAAGAUGGCUCGAGACUACCGAGAGAAGUGGUAUUGCCAGAGCGAAAGCAUCCAAGAGAAAGAGGCGUCUCGCUGCUUUACCACUAGGAGGAAGGUGCUCCUUAUACCCCACCGCCAUGACACAUGCUCACGUGCUGCGGUUGCCGUAAUUCGAGCCAAAUACUGGGACGAUGCUUUUCCUACUCGGCAUGAGGGCCGGAACAUGCUGAAGUGGAUGAGCGCAUCGAACUGCCAUUUUGUUGUGCUACCUAGAUACCCUUCCACCGAUCUUGGAAGUGCACACGUUGUGAAGUUGUGUGUGGCUGCAUGGUCCUGUUAUUGGAGAACAAGCAGCUGCGGCAUCCACUUGCUAGCUUGCCGUGUCACCGGUGCCGCUCCUGUCUAGUGAAGUUUCAUACGGCUGCUGUGUCAUCUCUGCAAACAACGCACCAACUUUGAGACCUUCAACUGCCUCCUGUGCGAGCAAGCAGACCGUCACGUGUUGUGUCAAGUGAGAUGCACGGUGUGUGGUAAUAGGUUGCAACACUAUAUCAUCCUGCAGAAGUUCUCUUGCAAGGGCACUCAAAAGGCUGACAUCUGCAAGCACCAGCAUGAGAGUGCUUAUGCGAAGCUUGCUUAUGCAAAGUGAAACUGGUGUUUUGCUCAAAAAGUGGUCGCUGUGCAGUGGGGUUUUGUGCCAGUGUUGUGCGCACCAAACCAUGUGGUCAGGUUCGUUUGUUCGAGGAAGUCAUUGCCGGAGACAGUCAAACUCAGACACUGCUGCCCCGGAAAGUCUGCUCAGAGUGCUGACACCAUGUAUGGCCCAAGCUCGUGCUGCCGGUGUUGAUGUGAGCAUUGGCAGUUCUUACGUAGCCGCCGUUUAUUGACAGCACUGUAAGUCUAAUUCUGCUGUCCCGCAUGUUCACCUUGCAUAUGGUUGGUUCAGUGGGCUUUUUGCACCAGUGUCCUAUUCUUCGUGGGACAUGGCAACGUCAUCUUUGAUUGCACGUGGUACGGGCGUAGUGUUUGCAACUUCGGCACCUUAUGAGCAAAGGGGUGCAGCCGUCACUUUUGCACCUAUGUCGCAGUGGAGCAGUGGUUAUAGUGCUUGGCAGCUUGCCCAAAAAUAAUGGGUUUUGAUCCUGGCUGUGGAACUCUAUAUUGAUGGAGGCGGCCCAUGUACUGUCCGAUGUCAGUGCUCGUUCAACGGCACCAGAUAGUCGCCUUCCUGUACAGCACAUCUCAUAAUCAUGUCAGUGGUGUACAGUUCAUUAUUGUUGAUUCAUUUCUGCAUUUAUAGUUCACUUCUGCAAGAUUCAUGUGAGAGUUAAUUCAGUAGAUGUUUGACAAUGCAUUUUGCACUUUCAGAGGAUGUGCAAGAGCCUCCUAAAUCUUUACGCUGGGCUACUAGAAAUUCAGAGUAUCUUUGCGCACCUUGGGUUUUGUUGUAGGCACUGUGUAGUGCUCGCAUAUUGAAGCACAAGAUAAUUCUUUUGGUAUAACAAGAGCUGUGAGCAGUUGCCCACGACAACUGUAAUCAUGUUGCUAUGAAUCUGGCCACUAAAGGUAAUAUUGGCUGUGAUAAAAGAAUUGGAAUUGAAAUAUUGCUGACUAGACACAGGGAACUUAAGGAGUCGGGAAAGGAAGUUUGUGCAUUACACAGCCCUGUAUUGUCGCUUUUCAAUCUGCGAGCACUGUUCAUGUGCUUUGGUGACCAGAGCCAUUAAAUAUGUAUGCAAGGGCUGUGAUGAAAAUGGUCAAGUAGGAGUUGCGCUGUGUGGUUCAUUUGUCCUGGCUUUCAUAUUGUUUAUAUUCCUCACAAAGGGGCGUAGAGCCACGUUAUUAACUUGGAGGGAUACUGAACAAAAGUUGGAAUAACUGGUAA
rnacentral:lncRNA from 1 species